UACGUGAGGGGGCAAGCGUUGUCCGGAAUCAUUGGGCGUAAAGCGCGUGUAGGCGGCCAGAAAAGUCCGCUGUGAAAACUCGAGGCUCAACUUCGAGCUGUCGGUGGAAACUUUCUGGCUAGAGUCCGGAAGAGGAGAAUGGAAGUUCCUGGUGUAGCGGUGAAAUGCGCAGAUAUCAGGAAGAACGACCCGUGGCGAAGGCGGGUUCUCUGGGACGGUACUGACGCUGAGACGCGAAAGCGUGGGGAGCGAACAGGAUUA
rnacentral:rRNA from 1 species